GUUCUUCAUAUGUACAAUUUUCCUGCUUCUGUUGCUAUCUUUUUGUUUUGUGAAUUAUGCGACCAACCUUUUUAAUGUCCACCGUUUUUCUGAUUAUUUGAUUUAUCAUCUAAAUUAGUGGGUUUGUUCAACCUUGAUUCGAUUUUAUUUCAUGAAUUCUGGUAGUUCUUAAGGAUUAUUUGAUUUCCUAGAGAGUGUCAUUAAAAAGGUUCAAGUUUUGAGACCAUGAGUAGUUUAUUUUCUCAGAUUAUUAUGUUAUGAUGGUGCUCAUCUGCUAAUGUCAAAAGGUCUUCCAUUGAAUCCGGUAUAUGUGCUAGUUUUGCCCCAUUUCGUUUGUUGUCUGGAUGAUGCCCAUAGAGUACCACUCUUGCAAGAAGUGUAUUUGAUAAUGCCUAAAAUGAAGGGAUACCUGCAAAAUAGAUAUAUAGAAAAAUUCGCUUUUACCUGCUCAAUCUAGUUACUCUCACUAACUCUUUUCUCUUGUCAAUAUUUUCUUUCAAAGAGCUGGCCUUCAUAAUGUAUACCCUGUACGUUUUGCACAGCCCUAUUUUCUUUAACAUUUCCUUUCAUUCAGCGCCUCAGAUUUUCAUUGCUGUGAUCCGAAUUCCAUAGAUUUGAUUUUUGGGUUUUUGAGAUUCUGCCAAUUAAUUGAUAUUCUUAGUAUUUUUUGAAAUCUCCGUUUUACUUACUUGUGUUUGGAUUUUCAUAUGUACAAUUUUCCUGCUUUCGUUGCCAUCUUUUUGUUUUGUGAAUAAUGUGACGAACUUUUUCAAUGUCCACCGUUUUUUGGAUUAUUUGAUUUAUCAUCUAAAAUUAUGGAUUCGUUCAUCCUGGAUUCAAUUUUAUUUCCUAAAUUCGGGUAGUUCUUAAAGAUUAUUUGAUUCCCUAGAGAGUGUCAUAAAAAAGUUUAAGUUUUGGGAUUUCCAGGUCCCUUUGACCAUGAGUAGUUUGUUUUCUCAGAUUAUUAUGUUAUGAUGGUGCUCGUCUGCUAAUGUCAAAAGGUCUUCCAUUGAAUCAGGUAGAUGUGCUAGUUUUUCCCCAUUUUGUUUAUCAUCUAGAUGAUGUCCGUAGAAUACCACUCUUGCAAGAAGUAAGGAUACAUGCAAAAUAUAUAGAAGAAGAAUUCGCCUUUACCUGCUAAAUCUUAUUACUCACGUUAAUCCUUUCUCUCGUCAAUAUUUUUCCACCAAGAAGCUGGCACCCGUAAUGUACACCCUGUACGUUUAGCAACCUUUCCUACCAUUCGGCGCUUCAUAUUUUCAUUGCUGUGAUCCGUAUUCCAUAUAUUUGGUUUCUGGGAUAUUGAGACUCUACCAAUCAAUUGAUAAUCUUGGUAUUUUUCGAAAUCUCUGUUUCUCUUACUUAUUUUUGGGUUUUCAUAUGUACAAUUUUCCUGCUUCUAUUGCCAUCUUUUUGUUUUGUGAAUUAUGUGACCAACUUCUUCAAUGUCUACCAUUUUUUGAAUUAUUUGAUUUAUCAUCUAAAAUUAUGGGUUCGUUCAUCCUGGAUUCAAUUUUAUUUUCUGAAUUCUGGUAAUCCUUAAGGAUUAUUUGAUUUCAUGGAGAGUGUCAUUAAAAAGGACCAUGAGUAGUUUAUUUUCUCAGAUUAUUAUGUUAUGAUGGUGCUCAUCUAUUAAUGUCAAAAGGUCUCCCAUUGAACCAAGUAGAUGUGCUAGUUUUUCCCCAUUUUGUUUGUCAUCUAGAUGAUGCCCAUAGAGUAUCGCUCUUAUAGAAAGUGUAUCUGAUAAUGCCAAAAAUGUAGGGAUGCCUGCAAAAUGGAUAAUAGAAUAAUUUGCCUUUACCUGCUCAUUCUAAUUAUUCAUGUUAAUCCCUCUCUCAUCAAUAUUUUCUUUUAAAAAGCUAACCCCCACAACGUACAUUCUGUACGUUUAGUACAACCCUAUUUUUUUGACAUUUCCUUCCAUUCGACGCCUCAGAUUUUCAUUGCUGCGCUCCAAAUUCCAUAGAUUUGGUUUCUGGGUUUUGAGACUCUGCUAAUUAAUUGAUAAUCUUGGUAUUUUCCAAAAUCUCUAGUUUUCUUACUUGUUUUUGGGUUUUCAUAUGUACAAUUUUCCUGCCUCUAUUGCUAUCUUUUCGUUUUGUGUAUUAUGCGACCAACUUUUUCAAUGUCCACCGUUUUUUGGAUUAUUUGAUUUAUCAUCUAAAAUAGUGGGUUCGUUCAACCUGGAUUCGGUUGUAUUACCCUAAUUCUGGUAGUUCUUAAGGAAUAUUUGAUUUCCUAGAGAGUGUCAUUAAAAAGGUUUAAGUUUUGGGAUAUCAAGUCACUUUGAUCAUGUGUAGUUUAUUUUCUCUGAUUAUUAUGUUUAAUGGUGCUCAUCUACUGAUGUCAAAAGGUCUUCCAUUGAAUCGGUAUAUGUGUUAGUUUUCCCCCAUUUCGUUUGUCGUCUGGAUGAUGCGCAUAGAGUACCACUCUUGUAGGAAGUGUAUUUGCUGAUGCUUAAAAAAUGUAGGGAUGCCUGCAAAAUAGAUAGAUAGAAGAAUUCGCCUUUACCUGCUCAAUCUAAUUACUCUCGCUAACUCCACUUUCUUCAAUAAUUUCUUCCAAAAAGUUGGUCCCCGUAACAUACACCCUGUACAUUUAGCACAGCCCUAUUUUCUUUAACCUUUCCUUCCAUUCGGCGCUUCAGAUUUUCAUUGCUGUGAUCUGAAUUUCAUAGAUUUGGUUUCUGGGUUUUUGAGAUUCUUCCAAUUAAUUGAUAUUCUUCGUAUUUUUGGAAUCUCUGUUUUACUUACUUGUCUUUGGAUUUUCAUACGUAAAAUUUUCCUGCUUCUAUUGCCAUCUUUUUGUUUUGUGAAUUAUGUGACCAACCUUUUCAAUGUCCACUAUUUUUCGGAUUAUUUGAUUUAUCAUCUAAAAUUAUGGGUUCGUUCAUCUUGGGUUGGAUUAUUUGAUUUUCUGGAGAGUGUCAUUAAAAAGGACCACGAGUAGUUUAUUAUCUCAGAUUAUUAUAUUAUGAUGUUGCUCAUCUACUAAUAUCAAAAGGUUUUCCAUUGAAUCAAUUAGAUGUACCAGUUAUCCCCCCAUUUUGUUUGUCAUCUGGAUGAUGCCCAUAGAGUGCCACUCUUAUAGGAAGUAUAUUUGAUAAUGUCUAAAAUAUAAGGAUACUUGCAAAGUAGAUAAAAGAAGAAUUCACCUUUAACUGCUCAAUCUAAUUACUCACUUUAACUCCUCUCUCGUCAAUAUUUUCAUCUAAAAAGCUGGCCCCCACAACGUACACUUUAUACGUUUAGCGCAACCUUAUUUUUUUGGCCUUUCCUUCCAUUCACCUCAAAUUUUCAUUGCGUUGCUCCGAAUUUCAUAGAUUUGGUUUCUGGGUUUUUAAGACUCUGCCAAUUAAUUGAUAAUCUUGGUAUUUUUCGAAAUCUAUGUUUUUCUUACUAAUUUUUGGGUUAUAUGUACAAUUUUCCUGCUUUUGUUUCCAUCCUUGUUUUGUGAAUUAUGUGACCUACUUUUUCAAUGUCCACCAUUUUCCAUAUUAUUUGAUUUAUCAUCUAAAAUUAUGGGUUCGUUCAUCCUGGAUUUGAUUUUAUUUCCUGAAUUCUGGUAAUUCCGAAGGAUUGUUUGAUUUCCUGGAUAGCGUCAUUCAAAAGGUUUUAGUUUUGGGAAUUCCAGGUCCCUUUGACCACGAAUAGUUUAUUUUCUCAGAUUAUGAUGUUAUGAUGGUGCUCAUCUGCUUAUGUCAGAGAGUCUUCCAUUGAAUCUGGUAGUGUACCAGUUUUUCCCCAUUUUGUUUGUCAUCUGGAUGAUGCCCAUAGAGUACCACUCUAGCAGGAAGUGUAUUUGGCAAUGCCUAAACUGUAGGGAUGCGAGCAAUAUAGAUAGAUGAAGAAUUCACCUUUACCUGCUCACGUUACCCCUCUCUCGUCAAUAUUUCCAAGAAGCUCUCCCUGAUAACAUACACCCUGUAUGUUUAGCACAACCCUAUUUUCUUUAACCAUUCCUUCCAUUCAACGCCUCCGUUUUUCAUUUCUGUGAUCUAAAUUUCAUAGAUUUGGUUUCUGAAUUUUUGAGACUCUACCAAGUAAUUGAUAAUCUUGGUAAUUUCUGAAAUCUCUAUUUUUCUUACUUGUUUUUGGGUUUUCAUAUGUACAGUUUUCCUGCUUUUGUUGGCAUCUUUUUGUUUUGUGAAUUAUGUGACCAACUUUUUCAAUGUUCACCGUUUUCUUGAUUAUUUGAUUUAUCAUCUAAAAUUAUGGGUUCGUUCAUCCUAGAUUUGAUUUUAUUUCCUGAAUUCUGGAAGUUCUUAAAGAUUAUUUGAUUUCGUGGAGAGUGACAUUAAAAAAGGUUUAAGUUUUGGGCUUGGAACCAUGAGUAGUUUAUUUUCUCAGAUUAUUGUGUUAUGAUGGUGCUCAUCUGCUAAUGUCGAAAGGUCUUCCAUUGAAUCAGAUAGAUGUGCUAGUUUUCCCCCAUUUUGUUUGUCACCACUCUUGCAGGAAGUGUAUUUGAUAAUGCUUAAAAUGUAGGGAUACUGCAAAGCAGAUAGGAGAAGAAUUUCUUUUGUAGUUGGGUGAUGUAUCACCAUAGAUCAUUUUUGCUAGACCUAUUGGAGUUCGGAUAAGAGAGUACGAGGGCCAAAAGGUUAAGUGGUGGUGUUCAAUUUUUUUUAAUUAUUAUUAUUAUUUUUUUUAAAUAAUCUUGGUUGUAAUUGUAUAAUGUAUUUAUAGGAUCAUUUCAUACGGUUUUCUUGCAAUGUUGUUUGGCGUAACAAAAUUCAGUUAAGAAGUUGAUAAUUUUUUAGGAACGAUAGUUGUAGCUAGCUAUUUUCGAUGUUUCGGGUGCAGUUAUUCAUUCAAUCAUCAUCAAUGACUAUCUAUGCUGGAGCUUCAAUAUUUUUGAAGUCUAGUAAGAUAGAAUCUUUUUCUAUACACUUUGUUCAAUUUAGUGCUACACGUAUUGAAAUAUCUAGUAGUAACUAGUCCUUAAUUUUGAUUGGAAGUAAAUAAAUCAUUUCUUGUAUUUACUUUGUUGUGGUUCACUCCUGCCAAUAUUUCAACAUCAUGGUUGAUGGGUAAACACUCUAACACUACAUUACAGCAACAGAGGUCUGUAAUUAUGUUCACUGUUUGACAGUGGCAGAAUCAACACCCAGCAAGAGGGCGCGGCCAUGUGUGUUGGCUCCGCCAAAGUCACCGUGGCCGAUGGGAGCCAUUGCAGAAAACUUGAAUCAGAAAAUGUAGACCCUUGAGAAUGAGGACUCGAGGUUGAAGAUGAAAUCAAUUGGAUUGGGCCUUUUUUAGAAUUGGGCCUCUUCCCUCUCUUCUUUUUUUUUUUUUUUUUGGGAAGAAUUCAUAAACCAUGUAUUAACUAUGCACAAUUCAAAGACCAUGUUUUAAGUUUAAC
rnacentral:lncRNA from 1 species